rnacentral:ncRNA from 1 species
CGCCAUUGUUCUUGGCCUGAAAACCCUUCAUUUUUUGAGUAGAUCUGAAGUACAAGUCGAACGUUGUUUUCGGGGAGCUGAGUAGAAGGAAAAAGGCUCCUAGCUAAAGGUAGCUUGUCUCGUCCAUGAGAUGGGAACAAUUAAGAACAAAGCGGUGAACAUGUGCGUAACGCGUGGGAAUCUGCAAAACAGUUCGGGCCAAAUCCUGAAGAAAGCUAAAAAGCGCUGUUUGAUGAGCCUGCUAUAGUAUUAGGUAGUUGGUCAGGUAAAGGCUAACCAAGCCAAUGAUGCUUAGCUGGUCUUUUUGGAUGAUCAACCAAACAAGGACUGAGACACGGCCAGGACUCCCACGGGGGCAGUAUUGGGGAAUCUUGGACAAUGGGCGAAAGCCCCAUCCAGCAAAUUGCGUGAGUGAAGAAGGGAAAUAUUGCUUGUAAAUCUCUUUCGUUGAGUGCGCAAUCAUGACAGGACUCGAGGAAGAAGCCCCGGCUAACUCCGAGCCAGCAGCCGCGUUAAGAUGAGGGGGGGCAAGUGUUCUUCGAAAUGACUGGGCAUAAAAGGCACGUGGCCGGUGAAUCAGGUUGAAAGUGAAAGUCGCCAAAAAUUGGUGGAAUGCUCUCAAAACCAAUUGAGUGAGAUAGAUGAUAGUGGAAUUUCAUGUGUAGGGGUGAAAUCCGGAGAUCUACGAAGGAACGCCAAAAGCGAACACAGCUCUUUAGGUCUCUACCGAUGCUGGGGUGUAAAAGCAUAGGGAGCGAAAAAGAGUAGUUACCAUGGUAGUCCAUUCCGUAAAUGAUGUGUUCACCCUUGGUCUACGCGGAUCAGGGGCCCAGCUAACGCAUGAAAUACUCUUGGGGAGUACGGUCGUAAGAUCGAAACUCAAAGGGAUUGACAAGGGGCUUGCAUAAACGUAAAGCAUGUGGUUUAAUUCGAUACAACGCGUAAAAUCAUACUAGCCCUUGACAUAUGAAAAACAAAACUUACCUUAACGGGAUGGUACUGACUUUCAUACAGGUGUUGCAUGGCUGUCGUCAGCUUAUGUCAUGAGAUAUUUGGUCAAGUCCUAUAACGAGCAAUUCCCUGAUUUUGUGUUGCUGAAAUGUGCGCCUAUGGAGAAAGUCUCUGGAACCGAAGUGAGCCGAGUUACGUGCCAGCGCUACUAAUUGAGUGCCAACACGUAACUAUGCUGUCGGUGAGAAGGGAUCCGACGCCUUUCGAACAAAGAACUUUCUAGCGUGCGCUUUAGUUUGAUUGCAACUAGUGCACUUUACUAAAUAGAAAGGGCUUUUCUCGGUUGUUUAGUUCAAGGUUUUGGCCUUAUCACGCAGGUGAUGACGACGUCGAGUUGGCGGCGGAGAAAGACUCAGCAUUCAGGCGAGCCCUCCAGUGGUGUGGUAUGUAGUAGGUUUAGUACACCCUGCCAAAACGGCUCUGAAACAAACAAAAAGGUGUGUGCCACACUCAUGAAGGACUGCUAGUAAAAUACUAGAGGAAGGGGGGGAUGAAGUCAAGUCCGCAUGGUCCUUAUGGGCUAGGCCACACACGUGCAACAAUGGCAAUUACAAUGGAAAGCAAGGCUGUAAGGCGGCGCAAAUCUAGAAAGAUUGCCUCAGUUCGAAUUCUUCUCUGCAACUCGGGAACAUGAAGUUGGAAUCGCUAGUAAUCGCGGAUUAGAAAGUUGCGGUGAAUAUGUACCCGGGCCCUGUACACAUUGCCCGUCGCACCCUGGGAAUUGGUUUUGUCCGAAGCAUUAGACCAAUGAUCACCUAUGACUUCUGUGUACUACACGUGCCACAUAGACUUUCAGUGGUCUUAUUGGCGCAUGCCACGGUGGGGUCUUCGACUGGGGUGAAGUCAUAACAAGGUAGUCGUGGGGGAACCUGUGGCUA